AUCUAGCUGACGAGUCCCAGAUAGGACGAAGCGCGAAUCAUGGAU
rnacentral:hammerhead_ribozyme from 1 species